rnacentral:tRNA from 2 species
GGAGGAGUGGCUGAGUGGUCGAAAGCGGCGGUCUUGAAAACCGUUGUACCGCAAGGUACCGUGGGUUCGAAUCCUACCUCCUCCGCCA